rnacentral:rRNA from 1 species
AACGAACGCUGGCGGCGUGCUUAACACAUGCAAGUCGAACGGAAAGGCCCUGCUUUUGUGGGGUGCUCGAGUGGCGAACGGGUGAGUAACCCGUGAGUAACCUGUCCUUGACUUUGGGAUAACCUCAGGCCACUGGGGCUAAUACCGGCUAGGAGCUCCUGCUGCAUGGUGGGGGUUGGAAAGUUUCGGUGGUUGGGGAUGGAAUAGCGGCUUAUCAGCUUGUUGGGUGGGUAGUGGCUUACCAAGGCAUUGCCAGGUUGCCGGGCUGGUCGGGUGACCGGCCACAUUGGGACUGGGAUACGGCCCAGACUCCUACGGGAGGCAGCAGUGGGGAAGAGUGCACAAGGGGCUGAAGCCUGAUGCAGCAACGCCGCGUGCGGGAUGACGUCCUGCGGGUUGUAAACCGCUUUCGCCUGUGACGAAGCGUUAGUGACGGUAAUGGGUAAAUAAGCUCCGGCUAACUACGUG